rnacentral:rRNA from 1 species
UACAGAGGGUGCAAGCGUUAAUCGGAAUUACUGGGCGUAAAGCGUGCGUAGUCGGUUAUCUAAGUCGGGGUGUGAAAUCCCCGGGCUCAACCUGGGAAUUGCAUUCGAUACUGGAUAGCUAGAGUUCGGCAGAGGGAAGCGGAAUUUCGGGUGUAGCGGUGAAAUGCGUAGAUAUCCGAAGGAACAUCAGUGGCGAAAGCGGCUUCCUGGACCAGAACUGACGAUCAGGCACGAAAGCGUGGGGAGCAAACAGG